rnacentral:tRNA from 1 species
GGAGGUAUAGCUCAGGGGUAGAGUGCAUGCCUAGCAUGCAUCAAGGUCCUGGGUUCAAUCCCCAGUACCUCCU